rnacentral:rRNA from 1 species
UCAGGAUGAACGCUGGCGGCGUGCUUAACACAUGCAAGUCGAACGAUGAUCCGGUGCUUGCACCGGGGAUUAGUGGCGAACGGGUGAGUAACACGUGAGUAACCUGCCCUUAACUCUGGGAUAAGCCUGGGAAACUGGGUCUAAUACCGGAUAUGACUCCUCAUCGCAUGGUGGGGGGUGGAAAGCUUUAUUGUGGUUUUGGAUGGACUCGCGGCCUAUCAGCUUGUUGGUGAGGUAAUGGCUCACCAAGGCGACGACGGGUAGCCGGCCUGAGAGGGUGACCGGCCACACUGGGACUGAGACACGGCCCAGACUCCUACGGGAGGCAGCAGUGGGGAAUAUUGCACAAUGGGCGCAAGCCUGAUGCAGCGACGCCGCGUGAGGGAUGACGGCCUUCGGGUUGUAAACCUCUUUCAGUAGGGAAGAAGCGAAAGUGACGGUACCUGCAGAAG